rnacentral:rRNA from 1 species
UACGAAGGGGGCUAGCGUUGCUCGGAUUGACUGGGCGUAAAGGGCGCGUAGGCGGUUUGCAUAGUCAGACGUGAAAUUCCUGGGCUUAACCUGGGGGCUGCGUUUGAUACAUGCAGGCUUGAGUUCGGAAGAGGGUCGUGGAAUUCCCAGUGUAGAGGUGAAAUUCGUAGAUAUUGGGAAGAACACCCGUGGCGAAGGCGGCUCUCUGGGACGGUACUGACGCUGAGACGCGAAAGCGUGGGGAGCGAACAGG